GAGGGUAUAGCUCAAGUGGUAGAGCAUGUGCUUAGCACGCAUGAAGUCCUGGGUUCAGUCCCCAGUACCUCCU
rnacentral:tRNA from 1 species